rnacentral:rRNA from 1 species
GUGACCUCAGAUCAGGUAGGGAUACCCGCUGAACUUAAGCAUAUCAAUAAGCGGAGGAAAAGAAACCAACAGGGAUUGCCCUAGUAACGGCGAGUGAAGCGGCAAAAGCUCAGAUUUGAAAUCUGUCGCCAUUUUGGCGGCCGAGUUGUAGUCUGUAGAGGUGUAUUCGAGUGUGGCUUUGGCUUAAGUUCCUUGGAACAGGGCGUCAUAGAGGGUGAGAACCCCGUUAACGGCCUUUGUCUUAUGCUCAUGUGAAUCUCCUUCAACGAGUCGAGUUGUUUGGGAAUGCAGCUCUAAAUGGGUGGUAAAUUCCAUCUAAAGCUAAAUACUGGCAAGAGACCGAUAGCGCACAAGUAGAGUGAUCGAAAGAUGAAAAGAACUCUGAACAGAGAGUUAAAUAGUACGUGAAAUUGUUGAAAGGGAAGCACUUCCGACCAGACGCACUUGCAGCCGAUCAAUCUUCAUUCUUGAGGGUGCACUCGGUUGUCUGUGGGUCAGCAUCAGUUAUGGCGGUGGGAAAAAGACUAAGGGAAUGUGGCUCCUUUCGGGGAGUGUUAUAGCCUUUGGUGCAAUGCUGCCUGCUGUGACUGAGGACCGCGCUUCGUGAGGA